ACGUAGGGUGCGAGCGUUAAUCGGAAUGACUGGGCGUAAAGCGUGCGCAGGCGGCUGAUUAAGACAGGCGUGAAAUUCCCGGGCUUAAGGUGGGAACUGCGCUUGAGACUGGUCAGCUAGAGUACGGCAGAGGGGGGUGGAAUUCCACGUGUAGCAGUGAAAUGCGUAGAGAUGUGGAGGAACACCGAUGGCGAAGGCAGCCACCUGGGCCGAAACUGACGCUCAUGCGCGAAAGCGUGGGUAGCAAACAG
rnacentral:rRNA from 1 species